GACUAAUUAAGCACCAGCAAAUACAGAGAGAGUGUGAGACACUUAAACACUACUGAAAACAUUGCAUAAGCUUGCAAAUGGAUGGAAAUUUAAAAUAGUUUGAUUUGAGUGUGCCAGCUAAAGUACUUGACCUGGAAAUCCUGGAAAGAGACUGUCAGAGAUCCUAACAUAGAAGGUACACUAGACCUUGUAUCAGUAUCAAAGAAUUUGCACAUAUGUGUCCUAGAUAAGCUCUCUGUUACAGUACUUUCAUUAGCAUUCCCAGUUUCCAGUAGAGAAAGUUACACCAUGCUGUAUGUUGCUUAACUUAAUUGGUUGGUAAAAGGUUAGAAAUUAUUGCUCCCUUCAGACCCACAGUAGAAACAAAAAGUGUACCCAGGAGGUACACUUCUGGCUGCUUGUGUGACUUGUAGAAAAGAAGGAGUUCAUGCUAACUGAGGUGUCUGAAUAAAAUGCAGAGGGAUUGAUCAGGGAGUUGGAGCCCCUUUCACAUCAAAGUAAACUUUUUAAUUAAUCCAACUCAGAAGGCAUCCAGGGAGAGAGGAGAGAGAUAACAAGGGAGGGUAAAAUCUGUGGCAGAAGUUAUUUCUGUUCAUUGACUGGAUGAAAUAAAGGCUGAA
ensembl:lncRNA